UACGGGGGGGGGCAAGCGUUUGUUCGGAAUUACUGGGCGUAAAGGGCUCGUAGGCGGCCAACUAAGUCAGACGUGAAAUCCCUCGGCUUAACCGGGGAACUGCGUCUGAUACUGGAUGGCUUGAGUUCGGGAGAGGGAUGCGGAAUUCCAGGUGUAGCGGUGAAAUGCGUAGAUAUCUGGAGGAAUACCGGUGGCGAAGGCGGCAUCCUGGACCGACAUUGACGCUGAACGGCGAAAGCUAGGGGAGCAAACGGG
rnacentral:rRNA from 1 species